GGCAACGUGGCUGAGUGGUUAAAGCGUAUGACUAGAAUUCGUCUAGAAUCCCUCUGGAAAUCAUAUCCCUUCGGGGUCGUAGGUUCAAAUCCUGCCGUUGUCG